ACCCUUGUGCAGUGGCAGUGGCAGUAUCAUAGCCAAUGAGGUCCAACCGAGGUGUGAUUAUUGCUAAUUGC
rnacentral:snRNA from 1 species